rnacentral:rRNA from 1 species
AUUGAACGCUGGCGGCAGGCCUAACACAUGCAAGUCGAGCGGAUGAAGGGAGCUUGCUCCUGGAUUCAGCGGCGGACGGGUGAGUAAUGCCUAGGAAUCUGCCUGGUAGUGGGGGAUAACGUCCGGAAACGGGCGCUAAUACCGCAUACGUCCUGAGGGAGAAAGUGGGGGAUCUUCGGACCUCACGCUAUCAGAUGAGCCUAGGUCGGAUUAGCUAGUUGGUGGGGCAAAGGCCUACCAAGGCGACGAUCCGUAACUGGUCUGAGAGGAUGAUCAGUCACACUGGAACUGAGACACGGUCCAGACUCCUACGGGAGGCAGCAGUGGGGAAUAUUGGACAAUGGGCGAAAGCCUGAUCCAGCCAUGCCGCGUGUGUGAAGAAGGUCUUCGGAUUGUAAAGCACUUUAAGUUGGGAGGAAGGGCAGUAAGUUAAUACCUUGCUGCUUUGACGUUACCAACAGAAUAAGCACCGGCUAACUUCGUG